AAAAAAAAAAAAAUUCAGAAGCAAAACUUUCUAGACUUAUUUCGUUUUUCUUGAUUUCUUUGUUCUAAAAGAAGGUUUUGGAUCGAAUUUCGAGUUUAAGUUUGUGGUUGGGUUCCGAACUUUAGUUAUUUUGGAUUUUCUGUCCAAUUUUUGGUCGAUAUUUGGAUUUGCUCGGUUGGUCUGUGGAGCUGUUGUUUUUGUUGCUGAAUCUCUCCUCCCAUUUCAGAGCUUUCUUUUGAUAUUUUUCAGCUAUUUUGCCAAUAGGGAAUGUUGUUUUCUUAUGAAUGGAUGAGAUGUUUGAGGAUUACUCUGUUUUCUGGAAGCCAUCAAAUGGAGUGAAUGUAGGCUAAUUGAAUGGCACUUGCUGAAACUCCAAGUUUGAAAUGAUAGAAUUUAUUUGUUUAAUUUUACUUUUAAAGUUGGGGUCUAUGCAAUUCAUUAUGGUAUUCUGAAAGAUUUGUACAUAAUAUUAUGUUAACAUAAUUCAUGAUAUUACUGAUUAAAAGCCAAUUUUAUAGAUAUUUGGUUGAACCUUUACUUGUUUGAAUAUUGGUCAAGCCAUGGACAAUAAUUUAUCUUUUGUCUCUUCUGUAUGAAUUCAUGGACUCUUGCUUUAGGCAUUAAAAUACAAAGUCAAGAAUGUGAUUUUGCUUUCCA